GGGACGGACCUAGAAGAACCAGCACUAGAGAAGGAAGAGGCAGAUGCAUUGAUGGACAAACCAGGAAAGACAGCAUAGUCAUACAUGCUGGAUUGUAAUCCGGUUACACCGAAUCAUUUCACGCUAGACCGACUACGAAAAACGUACCGGGCCGUCCACCUCAGAGGGAGCCCCGAGAGCCAUUAUAAGCGGUGGGUGAUCGAUCGCGGCUACCAGCUUCCAGUACUGCCUAGAAGCUGAAGAGGAGGUGGGGUGCCGAGGAGAAAACGCCACCCGGUCACCCGCGCGUGAGCGCGAAUCUUGGAGUGAAGAGAGACAUACGGAGCGCGCACGUGUUACCUGCUUUAUUUCGGGACUGUUUGGUACUGUGUUCGCGCUGGGCAGCGCUCGGCCCGGAAGGCCGCCCCCGCACGCCGCCCUCAGCCAGCCCCGCUUCGCGGCCGAGCUCGCCGCCGAGGGCCUCGGAAACCAGUAAGUACCGGCCUGGCCGCGGCCGCCCCCGCCCCAUUUCCCAGGCCAGGCUCCCCCUCCCCGAGAAAGCCGGCUCUCCCCGGCCGCUGGCCCAUCCGCUCCGAGGGCGCUUCCCCGGCUGCUGCGUCUCUUAAGGUUCACGCCCUCUUCCCGCACCCUCACGGCUCGCCCCUCCGCCGCGCCCCCCGCUCUUAAGAGACAAAAUUGGAUACAAACUUUAAUCAAUAAGGAUAAAUAUUGACGCGCGAAAGGAAAAUAAUCCCAUACAGGGAGGAGGCCGCAGGCGAGCGGCCGGGGCCCGGGGCGCACGCCCCGCGCUAAUCCUGGC